UCCAGGGUUUAGUGUAGAGGGGACAUAGAUGACCUCUAACCUGUCAUUCUAGCCUGGGC
ensembl:miRNA Mir7218 microRNA 7218